rnacentral:rRNA from 1 species
CCUACGGGUGGCAUCAGUGAGGAAUAUUGGUCAAUGGACGAGAGUCUGAACCAGCCAAGUAGCGUGAAGGAUGACUGCCCUAUGGGUUGUAAACUUCUUUUAUAUGGGAAUAAAAUGUUCCACGUGUGGGAUUUUGUAUGUACCAUAUGAAUAAGGAUCGGCUAACUCCUUGCCAGCAGCCGCGGUAAUACGGAGGAUCCGAGCGUUAUCCGGUUUUAUUGGGGUGAAAGGGGGCGUAGGUGGAUUUUUAAGUCAGUGGUGAAAGUUUGCGGCUCAACCGUAAAAUUGCAGUUGAAACUGGCAGCAUUAGUUAAGGUAGAGGUGGGCGGAAUCGGUGGGG